UAAUGGUUACGAUAGAAUUUAGUCUUUGCUAAACCUAUCUGAAGUUAACUUUCUACUAUUUUACAUCAUCUCUCGAGAUCCGGCGGAACCUUUGCCACUGAAGGACGAGCUGCUGUUGGCGGACGAUCCACUGUUUGCAACCGAAGUCAACUUGAUAAUACUGGAGCUGCAGAUGCUAGGCGAAGAAGGACUGCCGGAACAUGUGCUUAUCCGGUCGACGAAGUACUGCCCAAGGUCAACAAGCUGUGCUUUUGCGCUGAAUUCGUCGGCAACGACUGCUCAGCGCCAAACAGGACAAAAGCAAACACCGUAAGAAAACAUCCGCAAGCUCUUCGACACGGCGGCCGCGCCCGAUCUAGACAACCCGGUCCUCGAUGGCACCACUGUUUCUUACUAAACCAGACAACCGGAGCAGAACUCCAGGAUCAAGUACAUCGAUUAUCAAUUGCUGGUAUGAUCCGUGACGUGGCGGAAGCAUAUGAGCCAGGAUACGCCUCAAGCGAGCCUUGUCUUCCUCGCCAUACUCGGACUUGUUAGACGAUAGCUCCAUGUUUCGGUACUCGCCGAACCCGUUGGCCUCGCUGGUGAACGCUUUCCGUAGCAGCAGUACCAGCGGCUCUUACGGACAUCUGUCGGCUAGUGCGCUGGGACCGACGAUUGGAGUUCACGCGGCCAUGCCUCCAUGGCUUGCUGCCGGGUCUACCCGGACAUCAACCGCCUAAAGCCAGCAUGUUCUCUUCGAACCAUCCGCUGCAUCCGGGACAUUCUUUGACCAAGUCACAGCAAAUCACCGAUCUCUCUAGCAAGAAGCAGGAACAGCCAACCAACUCAUCUAACCAGUGAUACGACAACAGGUGGACAGCGCUAGCCAUGCUCAGCAGACAAGUCCCACGGUCACCGAUCUACCAUACGCCCUUCGGGAAAUUGUUGACCUCGAUGGUCCGGCCGCAGUGACAGCUGGUGCUCGUACUACCGGAAUUCCUCGGAAUCGGUUCAAGAACCGCAUCAACUACAAGGGUUCUCUGAUGAGUAAUCCGCUGUCCAACAUCCUAGAGAUCAAGAUCCAGCGCCACUUUGGGCUCGUCGGGCUUAACCGGCAAAUAACCGAUCUCAAGAUGGAACCGGGCACGACUCCGUCAUUGCCCCUCGCCAAGAACAACUGCCAGAUGACGGAUUUGGGAGGUUUGCAAACUCCGCCGCCGUAGUGCAACGAUGAUGAUGAAGUCCCCGCCAAACCGGAAAAUCUGCGUGCCCUGUUGGAAGUGUGUUGAUUUUUGUUUGAUGAUUAUUCCGGGUUGAAAACCGUUUUUUUCACAAUUUCUAAG
rnacentral:lncRNA from 1 species